GAUGAACGCUGGCGGCGUGCCUAAUACAUGCAAGUCGAGCGAACGGACGAGAAGCUUGCUUCUCUGAUGUUAGCGGCGGACGGGUGAGUAACACGUGGAUAACCUACCUAUAAGACUGGGAUAACUUCGGGAAACCGGAGCUAAUACCGGAUAAUAUUUUGAACCGCAUGGUUCAAAAGUGAAAGACGGUCUUGCUGUCACUUAUAGAUGGAUCCGCGCUGCAUUAGCUAGUUGGUAAGGUAACGGCUUACCAAGGCAACGAUGCAUAGCCGACCUGAGAGGCUGAUCGGCCACACUGGAACUGAGACACGGUCCAGACUACUACGGGAGGCAGCAGUAGGGAAUCUUCCGCAAUGGGCGAAAGCCUGACGGAGCAACGCCGCGUGAGUGAUGAAGGUCUUCGGAUCGUAAAACUCUGUUAUUAGGGAAGAACAUAUGUGUAAGUAACUGUGCACAUCUUGACGGUACCUAAUCAGAAAGCCACGGCUAACUACGUG
rnacentral:rRNA from 1 species